CGACCGGCGGCACGGGUGAGUAACGCGUAUGCAACCUGCCCGAUACCGGGGUAUAGCCCAUGGAAACGUGGAUUAACACCCCAUAGUACUUUUAUCCUGCAUGGGAUGUGAGUUAAAUGUUCAAGGUAUCGGAUGGGCAUGCGUCCUAUUAGUUAGUUGGCGGGGUAACAGCCCACCAAGACGAUGAUAGGUAGGGGUUCUGAGGGGAAGGUCCCCCACAUUGGAACUGAGACACGGUCCAA
rnacentral:rRNA from 1 species